rnacentral:rRNA from 1 species
GGGCCCGCACAAGCGGUGGAGCAUGUGGCUUAAUUCGAUGCAACGCGAGGAACCUUACCUGGGCUAAAUCCACAGUGAUGUCUUCUGGAAACAGGAGGUCCCUUAGGGGCACUAUGGAAGGUGCUGCAUGGCUGUCGUCAGCUCGUGCCGUGAGGUGUUGGUUAAGUCCCGCAACGAGCGCAACCCCUGUGGUUAGUUACCAGCACGUAAAGGUGGGGACUCUAGCCAGACUGCCUACGCAAGUAGUGAGGAAGGUGGGGACGACGUCAAGUCAUCAUGGCCCUUACGUCCAGGGCUGCACACGUGCUACAAUGGUCGGUACAAUGGGUCGCCACCCAGCGAUGGG